UACGUAGGGACCAAGUGUUGUUCGGGUUUACUGGGCGUAAAGGGCGCGUAGGCGGCAUGACAAGUCACUUGUGAAAUCUCUGGGCUUAACCCAGAACGGCCAAGUGAUACUGUCGCGCUAGAGUGCGGAAGGGGCAAUCGGAAUUCUCGGUGUAGCGGUGAAAUGCGUAGAUAUCGAGAGGAACUCCUGAGGUGAAGACGGGUUGCUGGGCCAACACUGACGCUGAGUGCGCGAAAGCCAGGGGAGCAAACGGG
rnacentral:rRNA from 1 species